UGUUGUUUCGGCAGCACAUAUACUAAAUUGGAAAGAGACAGAGAAGAUUAGCUUGGCCUCUGAGCAAGGAUGACACACAAAUGUGGAAUGUGUGUUAUUCCCCAUUUAU